GAUCCUGGCUCAGGAUGAACGCUAGCUACAGGCUUAACACAUGCAAGUCGAGGGGCAGCAUGAACUUAGAUUGCUAAGUUUGAUGGCGACCGGCGCACGGGUGAGUAACACGUAUCCAACCUGCCGAUGACUCGGGGAUAGCCUUUCGAAAGAAAGAUUAAUACCCGAUGGCAUAGUUCUUCCGCAUGGUAGAACUAUUAAAGGAUUUCGGUCAUCGAUGGGGAUGCGUUCCAUUAGGUUG
rnacentral:rRNA from 1 species